UACGAAGGGGGGCUAGCGUUGCUCGGAAUCACUGGGCGUAAAGGGUGCGUAGGCGGGUCUUUAAGUCAGGGGUGAAAUCCUGGAGCUCAACUCCAGAACUGCCUUUGAUACUGAAGAUCUUGAGUUCGGGAGAGGUGAGUGGAACUGCGAGUGUAGAGGUGAAAUUCGUAGAUAUUCGCAAGAACACCAGUGGCGAAGGCGGCUCACUGGACCGGUACUGACGCUGAGGCACGAAAGCGUGGGGAGCAAACAGG
rnacentral:rRNA from 1 species